rnacentral:misc_RNA from 1 species
AACGCACGAGACCUGCGGACCUGCGGAAGGAUCAUCACUGAUUCUCAGGGGAUGGGUGAUGCGUGGGUGGUGGUGGUGUACUCCGCCGCCGCCGCCCGCCCUACAUCCCGCCCCAACCAAUCUUGUGUGCACCGUUUCUCACCGAUCAUGGAGAGCAAUAAUGCGCGUGUGAUAUGUGUGUGUUGGCAGGGGAGCCUCCGUACUCUCUUGCCAACCGCAUGCACGCACGUGCUUUCUCUC